UACGAAGGGGGCUAGCGUUGUUCGGAAUCACUGGGCGUAAAGCGCACGUAGGCGGCUUUCUAAGUCAGUGGUGAAAGCCCCAAGCUUAACUUGGGAAUUGCCAUUGAUACUGAUGGUCUUGAGUACACUUGAAGUGGGCGGAAUGUGUCAUGUAGCGGUGAAAUGCUUAGAUAUGACACAGAACACCGAUUGCGAAGGCAGCUCACUAAAUUGUAACUGACGCUGAGGCACGAAAGCGUGGGGAUCAAACAGG
rnacentral:rRNA from 1 species